rnacentral:rRNA from 1 species
UACGAAGGGGGCUAGCGUUGCUCGGAAUCACUGGGCGUAAAGCGCACGUAGGCGGACUCUUAAGUCAGGGGUGAAAUCCUGGAGCUCAACUCCAGAACUGCCUUUGAUACUGGGAGUCUUGAGUUCGGGAGAGGUGAGUGGAACUGCGAGUGUAGAGGUGAAAUUCGUAGAUAUUCGCAAGAACACCAGUGGCGAAGGCGGCUCACUGGCCCGAUAAUGACGCUGAGGUGCGAAAGCGUGGGGAGCAAACAGG